rnacentral:rRNA from 1 species
GAGUGAACGCUGGCGGCGUGGCUUAGGCAUGCAAGUCGAGCGCGAAAGUCUUCGGACGAGUAGAGCGGCGAAAGGGUGAGUAAUGCAUAGACAACCUACCCCAUGGACUGGGAUAACCACUGGAAACGGUGGCUAAUACCGGAUGGCCUUGCGGAGCGGCAUCGCUUUGCAAGUAAAUGGUUGCUCUCGGGCUUCUGCCGAGGGAGGGGUCUAUGUCCUAUUAGCUAGUUGGUGAGGUAACGGCUCACCAAGGCAACGAUGGGUAGCCGGACUGAGAGGUUGGUCGGCCACACUGGGACUGAGACACUGCCCAGACUCCUACGGGAGGCUGCAGUCGAGAAUCUUCCGCAAUGGACGCAAGUCUGACGGGGCGACGCCGCGUGCAGGAUGAAGGCCUUCGGGUUGUAAACUGCUGUUGCACCUUACGAACACCUGGAAGUGAACAGCUUUCCAGGGUGACCAGGGUGUGAGGAAGCACAGGCUAACUCCGUGCCAGCAGCCGCGGUAAUACGGAGUGUGCAAGCGUUACUCGGAAUCACUGGGCAUAAAGCGCGCGUAGGCGGGCUUUCAAGUCGGUCGUGAAAUCCCCCAGCUCAACUGGGGAACCGCGUCCGAUACUGUUUGUCUUGAGGACGAGAGGGGAGAGUGGAACUUCUGGUGGAGCGGUGAAAUGCGUAGAUAUCAGAAGGAACACCGGUGGCGAAGGCGACUCUCUGGCUCGUAUCUGACGCUGAGGCGCGAAAGCUUGGGUAGCAAACGGGAUUAGAUACCCCGGUAGUCCAAGCCGUAAACGAUGAGCACUAGGGAGAGGAGACCCCGAUGUCUUCUCUCCUGGAGCAAAUGUAUUAAGUGCUCCGCCUGGGGAGUACAGUCGCAAGGCCGAAACUC